rnacentral:lncRNA from 1 species
UGAGCAGGAGGGCAGGACUUGUUGCUCUGUGUUGCUUUAUUUUGUGACACUAAUUUGUUAUUGUGGGAGAUUUGCUUCGAGUGGGGCAGGUGGAGACCCUGAGGAUUUUAUCCCCUCCACCAACAGGGAGAGGUCAGUGAGAUUUUCCCAGCUGUGCCAAGGACUGAAGCCAAAUGCCACAUGGCAUGGCGAGGAUCUCAGGCAGAGGGUCAGAUCCUGCGCGUUCCCUGGCAAAUACUUCACUGGGCAGAUGGCAUCAGAGCUCCCUCUAAAGAAGCUGGUCUGUAGUGCCACUGGCAGCAAGAGGAGCAUGGUGUGCCCCUGGGCUGGGCUGUACCCACCUUGGGAAGGAAGUAUCCCCUGAAGUGGGUGUCCACAGCAGUGCAGCGGGGAACGUGGGGCAGGAGGGUGAUGAACCUCUGCACUUCGUGGAUCACCGCGUUUGUAAAUGGCAUGUUCUUGCGGUCCUCGUACGUCACCCAGCUUCCAGCUUUGACAGUUCUUCCAAUCUCCUCCUGCACCUUUUCUGGAAGGAACAAAGAAUGGGGAUGUAUCCCAGCAAGGAAACCAACUCCCCCUCCAGAUUUGAUUUUAGUAAAAAAAAAUGUGUUUUCCCGGGGUCUGGAGGAAGAGGAGUCUUAAAACACCAGAAGCUCACUUUGGAUCUCUGGGUAUUUCAUCAUCAGCAGGAUGGCCCACUGCAGCGUGGUGGCCGUGGUCUCUGUGCCCGCCAUGACCAGGUCAAGUAUGGAUGCUAUUAA